rnacentral:rRNA from 1 species
AGUUUGAUCCUGGCUCAGAACGAACGCUGGCGGCAUGCCUAACACAUGCAAGUCGAACGAGACCUUCGGGUCUAGUGGCGCACGGGUGCGUAACGCGUGGGAACCUGCCCUUAGGUUCGGAAUAACAGCGAGAAAUUGCUGCUAAUACCGGAUAAUGUCUUCGGACCAAAGAUUUAUCGCCAAAGGAUGGGCCCGCGUAGGAUUAGCUAGUUGGUGGGGUAAAGGCUCACCAAGGCGACGAUCCUUAGCUGGUCUUAGAGGAUGAUCAGCCACACUGGGACUGAGACACGGCCCAGACUCCUACGGGAGGCAGCAGUGGGGAAUAUUGGACAAUGGGCGAAAGCCCGAUCCAGCAAUGCCGCGUGAGUGAUGGAGGCCUUAGGGUUGUAAAGCUCUUUUACUGGGGAUGAUAAUGACAGUACCCAGAGAAUAAGCCCCGGCUAACUCCGUGCCAGCAGCCGCGGUAAUACGGAGGGGGCUAGCGUUGUUCGGAAAUACUGGGCGUAAAGCGCACGUAGGCGGCUCAGCAAGUCAGAGGUGAAAUCCCAGGGCUCAACCCUGGAACUGCCUUUGAAACUGCUAGGCUAGAAUCUUGGAG